CCAGCCCUCGCCCCGCAGCCUUGCCGGCCAGCGAUGACAUCAACGGGGAAAAGAGGCAGCGGGGCCGCAGCACGCGCAGUAUGUGGGACCCUACCGCCUAUGAGAAGACGCUGGGCAAGGGACAGACAGGGCUUGUAAAGUUGGGGGUUCACUGUGUUACAUGUCAAAAGGUGGCGAUCAAAAUUGUCAACCGAGAGAAACUCAGUGAGUCAGUGCUGAUGAAGGUGGAGAGGGAGAUAGCCAUCCUGAAGCUCAUAGAACACCCGCAUGUUUUAAAGCUGCACGACGUUUAUGAAAAUAAAAAAUAUUUAUACUUGGUGCUAGAACAUGUGUCGGGUGGUGAGCUCUUCGACUAUCUCGUGAAAAAGGGGAGGCUGACCCCCAAGGAAGCGCGCAAGUUCUUCCGACAAAUCAUCUCUGCUCUUGACUUCUGCCACAGUCAUUCAAUAUGCCACAGGGACUUGAAACCUGAAAACCUGCUGCUGGACGAGAGGAACAACAUCCGAAUAGCUGACUUCGGGAUGGCGUCGCUGCAGGUUGGGGACAGCUUGUUAGAAACCAGCUGCGGGUCACCUCAUUAUGCCUGCCCCGAGGUUAUCCGGGGUGAGAAAUACGAUGGCAGGAAAGCAGACGUGUGGAGCUGUGGGGUCAUUCUGUUUGCCUUGUUGGUGGGGGCACUACCUUUUGAUGAUGACAACCUGCGGCAGCUCCUGGAGAAGGUGAAGCGAGGGGUAUUCCACAUGCCACACUUCAUCCCACCUGACUGUCAGAACCUGCUACGAGGCAUGAUUGAAGUUGAUGCCUCCAAGAGGCUGACGCUAGAACACAUUCAGAAACACAUAUGGUAUAUAGGGGGCAAGAAUGAACCGGAGCCAGAGCAGCCCAUCCCCCGAAAGGUGCAGAUCCGAUCCCUUCCAUCCCUGGAGGACAUUGACCCUGAUGUGCUGGACAGCAUGCACUCUCUAGGCUGCUUCCGAGACCGAAAUAAACUCUUACAGGACCUCUUGUCAGAAGAGGAAAACCAAGAAAAAAUGAUCUAUUUUCUCCUCCUUGACCGGAAAGAAAGGUAUCCCAGCCACGAGGAUGAGGACCUCCCUCCACGGAAUGAAAUAGACCCCCCCAGGAAGCGUGUGGACUCCCCGAUGUUGAAUAGACAUGGAAAGAGGAGGCCUGAGAGGAAGUCCAUGGAGGUCCUCAGUGUGACCGAUGGUGGCUCCCCAGUCCCUGCCCGCCGAGCCAUCGAGAUGGCCCAGCAUGGCCAGAGUAAAGCCUUGUUCAGUAAAAGCCUGGAUAUCUCUGAAGCCCAUCCCAAAUUCAGCAAAGAAGACAGGAUGGCCAGUGCCAGUGCAUUGGGGUCCCGGUCAAUCAGUGGCGCCUCAUCGGGUCUUUCCACCAGCCCCCUCAGCAGUCCAAGGGUGACCCCUCACCCCUCUCCGAGGGGCAGCCCCCUCCCUACCCCCAAGGGAACGCCCGUCCACACGCCAAAGGAGAGCCCGGCGGGCACACCCAACCCCACCCCACCGUCCAGCCCCAGCAUCGGAGGGAUGCCCUGGAGGACACGCCUCAAUUCCAUCAAAAACAGUUUCCUGGGGUCUCCUCGAUUCCACAGGCGGAAACUGCAGGUACCUACUCCGGAGGAGAUGUCCAACCUGACUCCAGAAUCAUCCCCAGAGCUCGCCAAAAAGUCUUGGUUUGGGAACUUCAUCAACCUGGAGAAAGAAGAACAGAUCUUUGUGGUUAUCAAAGACAAGCCGCUGAGCUCCAUCAAGGCUGACAUCGUGCAUGCCUUCCUCUCGAUUCCCAGCCUCAGCCACAGCGUCAUCUCGCAGACGAGCUUCCGUGCAGAGUAUAAGUCAACAGGAGGACCGGCUGUCUUCCAGAAGCCGGUCAAGUUUCAAGUGGACAUCACCUACACGGAAGGUGGGGAGGCGCAGAAGGAGAACGGCAUCUACUCAGUCACUUUCACCCUUUUGUCAGGUCCGAGCCGUCGCUUUAAGAGGGUGGUGGAAACCAUUCAGGCCCAGCUGUUAAGCACACAUGACCAGCCAUCAGUCCAGCAAUUAUCAGAAACCCCCCAUUCAGCUCCAGGACUAAGCUGGGGAGCUGUGUUUAAGGGCCAGAAGGUGGCCACCAGCUACGAGAGUAGCCUCUGAGACUAUAGCAGACACCACUAACUGUAUGGAAUUGAUGACGGGGAGGCUUUCCAAAUGUGGAAUUAUCCCGCAAAGUUAACAUGUCACCACCUGCCGCCCGCCGCCUUCUGUGCUUGGAGGACACUUAUGGAUGGAAGGCAGCUGCUUCGGAUUCAGCCCCUCCUCCUCCUGACCCUCCCGGGGGUCCCCCCUCCUGCCUCGCUCCAUGGCCUGUGGGGCUAAUGGAACUCAGCUCAGUGAGGCCCACUGGAGGACCUCAACACCUCUUCUCUAGGGAGGGGUCAGCACAGCAACGGGCCUCCCAGCUACCUGCCUGAGGAUAGCCAAGAAUGGCCUCUGGAUCCUGGGAGGCCAGCCCUCCGCCAGCACCCGAGGGUGGGAGCCAGCACCCCCAAGGAGCAGCAUUAAUGACCCUCCAUCGUCCCAAGGCUCUCAGCCUGUCCUUUCUUCUCUUUGUUCCUCUGUCCUGUCUCACUUGCAUCUCCCCCAGCCUCUCCAUCUAGCUCCCCAUCUCUGCCUUUCUCUCUCUCUUUCCGUCUCUCUGUCCUUUCUUCGCAUUGUUUUUCGAUUCAGUUUUAUUUGGGGGCCUUGAGAUCGCACUGGCCUCAGAGAGCCCAUCCUAGCCAUUGUGGAGGGAGAGGGGGAAGCGUGUGACCCCAGCGCAGGGAGAGCCGCUGCAGCCCCAGCCCAGGUUGGCCUGGCCCAGAACGUUCAGGAGCGGAGGAGCCAGACCGAGGGCGUCGCACCGCCCAGCUGGACUGCCCCCCUGCCCGCCCCGCCCCGCCCCCAGCCUUGGGCUCCCCGGGGAGGGAGAGAGCCCGCUUGGAGGCUGCUGGUGCUGCACUGAGAUCAGUAUCCAUCCCUCGCUGUUUUCAUUUACAUGAUUUCUUUGGUUCUCUCUUCAGGGAAGAGGCAGUGUUCUCAGUCUGUCUGCUUGUCUGUCUUGGUGUCUGUCUGUACGGGCUUUGGCCUCGGGCCGCGGCCUGGGCUGCUGGGGGCUCCACAGACAAUGGCUCUCGGCAGAGCAGAGUGGAGGCAGGACCAGGGCAACACAAAGCUACUGUAAACUUGAAAAGAAAUCCUGCAAGAUAUUUUUAUAAACGUUUUUUCCUUGGUUCUUUUUGGAAAAGG